GGCAUCAAAGUAGUAGGACUACCCGCUGAACUUAAGCAUAUCAAUAAGCGGAGGAAAAGAAACUAACAAGGAUUCCCCUAGUAACUGCGAGUGAAGCGGGAAAAGCUCAAAUUUAAAAGCCUUCGGGCGUUGUAAUCUAAAGAAGUGUUUUCGGUCGUUGCCUCGGAUAAGUCUCUUGGAACAGAGUGUCAAAGAGGGUGAGAAUCCCGUUCUUGCCGAGCUACCAACGUCUAUGUGAUACACUUUCAAAGAGUCGAGUUGUUUGGGAAUGCAGCUCAAAAUGGGUGGUAAACUCCAUCUAAAGCUAAAUAUUGGCGAGAGACCGAUAGCGAACAAGUACCGUGAGGGAAAGAUGAAAAGCACUUUGGAAGGAGAGUUAAACAGUACGUGAAAUUGUUAAAAGGGAAACGC
rnacentral:rRNA from 1 species